UGGGGAAUUUUGGACAAUGGGGGCAACCCUGAUCCAGCGACGCCGCGUGAAGGAUGAAGGUCUUCGGAUUGUAAACUUCUUUUAUAGGGGAUGAAUGUAUUGGUGAAUAGCCAAUAGUGACAGUACCCUGUGAAUAAGCCACGGCUAACUACGUGCCAGCAGCCGCGGUAAUACGUAGGUGGCAAGCGUUACUCGGAAUCACUAGGCGUAAAGCGCAGGUAGGCGGUUUGAUAAGUCUGUUGUGAAAGCUCCCGGCUUAACUGGGAGAGGUCAACGGAAACUGUCAAGCUAGAGUGUGGUAGAGGUAGCUGGAAUUCCCGGUGUAGCGGUGAAAUGCGUAGAUAUCGGGAGGAAUACCUAUGGCGAAAGCAGGCUACUGGACCAUCACUGACGCUGAUCUGCGAAAGCUAGGGGAGCAAACAG
rnacentral:rRNA from 1 species